AUGUAUAAGAGUGUCUGUUGUCAUGGUAUCUCUUCACAGCAAUUAAAAACAACCCUAAAUAAGACAAAAAGGAAAGAAGUCCUUAGACACAUUUUAGACUUUUCUUCCAUGAAAAUCUUAGUGUGUGCCACCAACGCCCGACCUCAUGCAUUGUGUUUGACAAAACAAUUAACAAGUACUAGACCCUUAUUUUCUUAAGAUAUCAGGUAAUUACUAUGCCUAAACAAAACAUUCAUGGAAGGUGGUCUCUGCAUCCUGAACUCUCUAGAAGCUGAAGCCAAAGAAUCAGGAGUUUGAUGGAAGCCUGGGAUACAGCAAGUGUUACGGAUGUUCUUUCUGCCAGCCUGGUCCCACAGCUGCAUCAGCCCCAAAUGAACACACAAAUGCUAUAUUAAUUGUGAACCUGUUGGCUAGUGGCUUGGACUUCUUAUUGGCUAGUUCUGUCUUAAUUAUUAAUUCAUAUCUAUUAAUCUAUGUAUUUCUACAUGGUCU
rnacentral:lncRNA from 1 species